GGCGGCGUGCUUAACACAUGCAAGUCGAACGGUAAGGCCCCUUCGGGGGUACACGAGUGGCGAACGGGUGAGUAACACGUGGGUGACCUGCCCUGUACUUCGGGAUAAGCCUGGGAAACUGGGUCUAAUACCGGAUAUGACCUUCCCCUGCAUGGGGGUUGGUGGAAAGCUUUUGCGGUACAGGAUGGGCCCGCGGCCUAUCAGCUUGUUGGUGGGGUAAUGGCCUACCAAGGCGACGACGGGUAGCCGGCCUGAGAGGGCGACCGGCCACACUGGGACUGAGACACGGCCCAGACUCCUACGGGAGGCAGCAGUGGGGAAUAUUGCACAAUGGGCGAAAGCCUGAUGCAGCGACGCCGCGUGAGGGAUGACGGCCUUCGGGUUGUAAACCUCUUUCAGUAGGGACGAAGCGCAAGUGACGGUACCUACAGAAGAAGCACCGGCCAACUACGUGCCAGCAGCCGCGGUAAUACGUAGGGUGCGAGCGUUGUCCGGAUUUACUGGGCGUAAAGAGCUCGUAGGCGGUUUGUCACGUCGUCUGUGAAAACCCGAGGCUUAACCUCGGGCCUGCAGGCGAUACGGGCAGACUUGAGUACUGUAGGGGAGACUGGAAUUCCUGGUGUAGCGGUGGAAUGCGCAGAUAUCAGGAGGAACACCGGUGGCGAAGGCGGGUCUCUGGGCAGUAACUGACGCUGAGGAGCGAAAGCGUGGGUAGCGAACAGGAUUAGAUACCCUGGUAGUCCACGCCGUAAACGGUGGGUACUAGGUGUGGGUUUCCUUCCACGGGAUCCGUGCCGUAGCUAACGCAUUAAGUACCCCGCCUGGGGAGUACGGCCGC
rnacentral:rRNA from 1 species